UUCAAAGGCAGGCACAUUUUACUUAAGCUUCCAAUUUCACAAAUCUGCCUCUUUUUUCUUUUUUGUUUCCUUGCCUCUCUUUCUCCCCACUCCCCUCCAAUAUUUCUUCCUGCCAAAAAUUAUUUUGGGACUUGAAGUCAAACCAGACAGCUGUAGUCAGAUUGCUGAAAGCAUAUUUUGCUAUCAAAUGCUGCAUUACUGAAUCAUCUCACUCCAUUUUAGAGAUGUGAAAGUACGGAAUAUAUAUGUUUGGGAUAGAUUUAAAAAUUGUAACAUUUUUGGAAUGUGGUCUGAGAAAGUUUUGCAGUGUGCAUUUGGAAAGAUUCAGUGUUUCUGUGUGAAGACACUGUGGGUGAGUUAUGUAGGUCAUAUCCAAGAAGCCACGCAUUUCACACCACAGCUUGUAGAUGCCUGAUAUUUUACAGCAGCUUAUUCGUAAAAUAUUUUAGUAAGUUUUAAAGUUUUAUUGUUUCUAUUUCAGUCUCUGCCUGUAAAGCCAAGCUCCAUUAAUACUACAGUUCCAGCUAUAAAGAAUUCUGUGAGAGGAAGGGAACUUAUAAAUAAUGCAUUUAGAAACCUCUAAAAAGGAUCUUCAGAACUUUUGGCACUUGUUAAAGCAGCAUAUCUCAUGAUCAGUGACGGACACUUUUUUUUUUUUAACCAUAGACAGGUAGGAAGAGCUUCCUGUUUUCUUUAAUUAAAUUAAAUAUUUUGUUUGCAGCCUAGGCAGGUCAUUAGGCUUAUCAGUAGUUUUUAUUCUGAGCAGGCUAAUUCCAUGGAUGAGAAUCAUAGUUUAUUUUGGGGAGAGAAGAGUCAACUUGGGAAAGGGCAUCACCCUGUUCACAGGACUGGUAUCUGAGUCCUCUGUGCAUCCGAAACUACCACAGCUGGAUCCCAAGUUCCUAUCUGCUGGUACUCUGCAGGGCAUCAUCUGCAGCUCAAGGGCUGAAUCAAUCACCCGGUUUUAUGUAUUGCAGCCUAUAAUUGUAUAAUUUUUUGUGGAAAUCUUGGAGGGAAUACCCCAAGUUCAACAGUAGUACCUCCUCCCCAGGGACUUUCCCAGCAGGCUUUGUUGUUUUAAAUGGACUGCUGCUGGUUUAGUUAGCUCUGUUUUCCUAUGGAUGUUCCUCCUGGUCAAAGUGCUCAAUUCAAACAAUACAACGUCCUUUCUUGAACAGACUUCAAGGCAGGACCCUGUUUCUGUCAGGGGACACAGGAGAGAGAAGUCACACUGCUUUUUUUCUCUCUACUGUCUUUUUCCUCUUCUAGAAAAGAUCAACCACAAGGUUUCCCUCUUUUCAGUACCUGCAAGCAUAAGACUGUAACUUAGCCAUUUGGGAAUGAUUCCUUUGAAUCCAAUUCUUCCCCAGGGCAUCAUUGGGAAUUCUCACCCAAGACAGAUCUCUUAGAUAGGUGGAAGAGUGCUCACAGCAUGAAAAAUUACAUAAUUUUAUGCUUCCUUCUGCAUUAAAUCUAACACUUUAUGACUUUCACAAAACUCACUACUCAGAAACCAAAUUUAGGAGUUAUAAACAACUUUAAUAAAUAGGCUGUAAAAGAUGUAGAGUCCCAAUAAGUGAUAGUCUUUCUGAGCAAAAAUUGCCAGUGGUUGAAAAGUCUAUGGAAACAUGUGCUUAAAUCCCGUGCAGCUUCACAUUUAGAUCUAGAAGAUGUAGCUCAAUGUAGCUUGAAGAAUUUCAAGAAUUCCUGGCUGGCUUUCACCAAAGGAAAAACAAAUCUUGACUUCUUUUGUCUCCUUCCCUUUCUUUUAUUGUAGACAUUCUAAAUGCUUUUCUUACUUUUUUUCAUCUUGCGCAGUUUUGAAGCAUUUCAAAUUCUUUUCUCUGUUGCAUUCCCAUAAAUGCUAAACAGUUCCUGUCAUUUGCACAAGGUAUAGGCAAAACAGAAUGAAAUUCAAUGCAAUAUUCAAUAAAUAACUUUGUUUGACAGUGGCUACUGUCAACAAACCUGAUGAUCUUGAAGGGGAAAGCUGGAGACUGGACAAACAGAUAAAAAAGGAAGGGAACUGAACACUCUCCCAAAUUCUGUGGUUGUUAAAUAGAUUGGCACAAGUACCAAGUUUCUUUUUUUGGUGAAGUUCCUGAAUUGCAGCUCAAGAGUUUUAAGCCAGGCCCUGCAAUUUCUGUCUUUGGAAUGUGCUUUGUUCUCUGGUGGGUUCCUGAGGUGAUGCACCCACUGCUAGGCUGGACUUUAAAGUUGUAAUCCGGUCUUUGUGGGAUCAAAGGCAACCCAUCAAAAUCAAACUCUUGAGGAUAAGUUCCUUGUUCUGCAUCUUGCCACUUGCACUCCUGCCCACUGUAAAACCAUUUACCACAUGAUCAAAGUCUUUCCAUGUCAAGUGACAAAAACUGGAAACUCAAGUAGUGGGAUUGAGAGCCUAUAAAGAAAAGGUAAUUUAGGGUUUUUAACAGAAACAAUUUUAUUAUGUUGCCAAAGAAUUAAAAAAAUUACUCUUCUUGGAUCUGAUUUGAUUCUUGCUUGCCUAUGCUGGGAUGCUUUCGAGUAUUCCAGUUGGCCUGUCACUGAUUAUUAGUGGUUGAUUAAUGCAGCAGUAAAAUAUCUUUGAUGCUUUGCAAAGAACAUAUUAGUUGCAUAUUUUGUAUUAGAUACCUUUCACACUUCAGUCUUGAAUACUGUUAAAAUAAGUACUGAAAAGAAUUCUGUGUUUUCAAAGAAAUAGGAAUUGUCAUGGAUUUUUUGUCUUUGGUUUUAUGUAGCAGGUUUUAUUCAGUUAUAGCCGCAACUUUGCAAAUGGAUUGAAAUUUGUAAAGUAGUGAAAACCUAAGGUUUUUCAGAAUUGAAGACAUUUUUUCUUCAUAUCUAAUGCUUCUCUGGUCACCCAUGAUAGUGUUUUCAAUAUUGAAAGUGAUUCUAGUAUCAUUUUUCUGCAUAACUUUCUAUGUGAUUUUACCUGGCCAACCUUGUUUCUUCACUUCAUUUUCUCAAAGGGUUCAGAGAAUGUUGUGUGCUUUGAUGAAGGACAAAAUAGAUAAAUAUCUUAAACUGAUAAGCUCUUAAUAAAAUAAAAAAGAAGAAUAUACAAAAGGUGUAAAUCAUAUAAAUAACUCCUAGAGUUCUGUGUUUCAGUAUUACCUGGUGGAUAAUGGCAUUUCCCAGUGGUGCAUAUAUUCAAGGUAAUAAUCUGUCAUGUAUCAUCCAAAUGCUUUAAAGACUUUAAGAAUAGGUAAAAGACAACAGUAAUUUCCAGAUUAGUCAGAAUGGUGUUUUUUCCUUUAUCCUUGCAUUUAUAAAUUCUGUCAAGAAAGAGUUUCUCUGGUAAUUAGUUGUCCAAGGAAACAAUUCCAAGAAGAGGAAUCUUAUUUUAAAGCACUAAAAUUUGACAUGGAGGAAAUUAUUUAAUAAGAAUUUCUUUGAAGAUUAAUGCCAGAAUUGAAACCUUUCUGACAUUGUGGGAACCAUUUAUUCAUGUAAACAAAGAGGCGCAGGUAAGUGAUGUGUAGGGAUAUUGAGAUAUUUUAGAAGAACCCUCAGAAAAUGUGACUGGGUGAAGCUGAGGCUGAUUUUUGUUUGUUCCUUUGCUGGUUGUGGCCUUAUGUGAUUUCUUAUAUUGUUUCAAGCACAAUGGAACUUUUAAAAGCAAUCAGAUGUGGCCACCAUUAAAAGAAAUAUUGCCUCCAAAAGCAGAGUGGGAGGUUCAAGUAGCCUAGUUUAGCCACUGGUUUAUCCAUUUUCUAAGCAUUUGGUCUUGCCAAGGUUCUUGCCUAUCCUGAAUUAUUUACUCAGUCAGUGAACACCUUACUGAGGCAACAGAUGCCUAUAGAGAUGUGCCCUGAGCAAUCAGCUUUUAACUUUGUUGACUCCCUAAAGAGUCACGCUCAGAUGAUGACCUGGCUGUCAUCACUGUAAGGAAUGCACAGAAUACAGCAGGAAUCUGAGAUUGCCUCUGUUGGCCCAGAACUCCUGAUGUUCCCUGGCUGCAAAGGAGUAAAAGCAUUCAUCCAAGAGCUAAGGGUUAUGAGGUAAGGCCUAUCUUACCUAACCUAAAGGAGUCCUAGCCACCAACAUUUUUAUCUCAGGGGCAUCCCUGACUGCCUGGGGACCGCUGGUUUUCCUGAGGGAGGGCUCUCCCAUCUUCAAAGCUGGGCUGAUGUAAGGAUUUUCUUAAACAGGGAAGAGUAAAAAGCAGGUUUUUUCAAACUCAGUAAAGCUCUUAGAAAAGAUAGUUGGUUUAUUGAUUCUUCCCUUUUACCUGUGCUACCCUAUUCUUACAUCUGAGCACAAGGCCCUCACACCUGGUGGAGUUUGGAAGAAAUUCAAGGGCUGGAUUAGCUCAGAUCUCCAUACCCAUAAAAGAGAAUUAUUUCUUCUACAGGGUGACUACAGUGAAUGGCAGGCUCUGCAGCAACACAGAGAUCUUUUUGAAAUCAUUGCAUGUUCUCACUCACCCCUUCAGUACGUCCACCUGUAGAAAACAUCUUAGCCAUGAGUACACAGCACACUGUUUGUGAAAAGCCACAACUUUGCUAAAUUAAAGCAAAUUACUUUCAAAGCAUGCAAGGGCACUAAUUUUCAUUGAUUACUCAGUCAUGGCCAAGUUUCAAAUUUCAUCUGUUUUUACUGUAGUUCUUCUGGAAAAAAUUUGGUUAGAAUCACUCUCCCAUAACCUAAAAAUGGUUGCAGGGAUUUUGCUUUGACUGUAAGGGGAUAAGAAAACCUCUCUUUAGGCAUGGAAAACUUCAGCCUGAACAAUGAGUGAUUCAGAAGACUGUGGUUGUGGGGAAAAUGGACUUUUAAUUGGAUUCAUUUUGCUUAUGUAACCAUUUGGCCCUUACUAAGCAGCUAUUCUAACAAUAACUUUGCUUACCAAUGAUACGUAGUCUCUUCUGAACUAACGUAUCUAUAGCAAAAAAACGUGCCACAUAUAUAGGCCUGUGUUUGUAUGCAAAGUUGAAAGAUUUCCUGCAAAAAUUUGUGGAAGAAAACCCUUCCCAGAGACCUUUGUAGAAAGGCAUUGUUCUGGCUCAGGAAAUCCUCCAGCCACAAGUGGCUGGAACUUGGGAACAUAUUCUGAAAAAACUAGAUUUUCUGGCUUAGAUGGAGCUUUGAUCCAGUUUGCUCAGACUUGGGUGAACAAAACAACAGUAGCGUGAAGAGAAGCUUCCUGUGAGAAGAUUGCAUGUUUACUGCUUUGUCCUAAGUUCCAUGGAACAAAAACCCAGACUUCACCUUCCUGCUGUGGUUGCUGUCAUUGUAAAUAUCCUGAGAGUUUUUAGCACCCCACUUUGGAGUUAGACAGACAUGCCGGGUCUGUUCUCGGUGGGCUCCUGCACAGGAUGGCUGGAGAAAGUUCUUGACUUCUUGUGGCUUGGUGAAGACCAGGAGCUGGGAGUUGUUUCUUGGGUUUGGGCUUUUAAAUUAUUCAGACUGGUUAAUCCAGCUGGGUCAGCCCCAGGAUGAAGCUGAGCAGAAAGGCUUAGCACUGAAGUUCCUGUUAGGGAAAUACUGGAGGUGACAGAAGAGGCAAGCAAGUGGUGCUCUUAUUCUGGCUGGUCAUGCAAUGCUUUCCACUGACAUAGUCAAAUAGAUUAACCCACAGGUCUCAAUAAUUAGUUUGUAAAGAGCUACAGGAGAAGGGGCUGGUUUUUAAAUGUGGUAGUCUCUCACACCUCAGGGAACUCAUAAAUGUAAAUAUUAAACCAAUGUUAACAUUGAGACAACUGGAGUCAUUACUGUGGGCUCGUCAGCCUGACUGAACAAAAUGUUGGAAAUGUGACUCAAGAGGGACUUAAACAGCAAUAAAAUAAAAUGUCAGUUCACAAAGGUGAGAUUUGAGGUAAGGGAAAAGAUAUUAUAUUUACAAUAUAAUUUGGUAAAAAAGUUGUAUUCUUGCAUAUAUUGUAUCGUUUACAAUAUAAUUCAUGAAGUAAGUUCACAGCUUCAUCAAAACCUGUGAUAAGGUUGUGAAUUUACUUUUUAAUUAUUGCUGCAGUGAUACAAGAUGUCGGGUAUUUCACUUGUUUUUCCUGCCUGUUUUAGUUUUGAUAUAAACACAGUGUAAAACUCCUGUGAUCUCUAGUCAAUGAAAUUAACAGGAUCAGAUCUUGUAUCUGUGCAGUUUCUUACCUUUUAUCAAUGGCCUGAAGAGCAAGUUGCAGUUAACCAAGAGACCAGUGAAUGAAGAGCACCCAAGGGAAAUGUUCUGGCAAAAAGGGGUCAAUCAGAUACUUUUGGUUCUGGUAUAGCACUCUGUCCUGGUGCAAUGUCAGCCACAUUUGCCAUGGUACUCUGGAGUCCAAGAAAAGGGCUGGGAAUCAUGGUGACUAAUGGAUUAACAUUGACAUGACAUGAUAACAGUAUUGAUAAGUGACACUCAUUUCCUUCUGCUGAACUUAUCCUGCUGAGCACCAAAUAAAUCCAGAUUCAGUCAAAUGAGAAAUGUCUCUAAACUGCUCACUGGGGCAUUUAUCUUCCAAGGAAAUGCUUAUUGUAAAACACUGAAGCUUUAGAAACAGGCAAUAGCACAAGCACUUUUCACAGGGGAGAGGCUGCCUCUAAUGGCAUGAGAAGUAGAGCCAAGAGGGCUUUAAGAGGAGUAACUUCCUGUGUGCUAUAUUCAAUAAAAUAAAAGCUCUAGACACAACAGACAGUCCCAUGUAGGUAAAAAUAGCUUUCCAGUUUUAGGAAAACUGUGAUUGCACACCCAGGUUUGGAGCAUAGUGCCCAUGAAGAGAUCCUAAGCUCCCUGAGCAUUUUGACCAUUGCUACUUUCCAUACAAACUCUUUCCUUAUGGAUCACAAGGGUUAGGGAGUAUUAAUGCUGUACAGCAGCAAGUCUCACUAGGAAGGCAUUUCUGAAUUUCAGUAUGCAGGACAAAUGGUUGUCCCUGGCUGCCUGAAUGGGAGAGGUGUUAAGACAAUAAACUUUUGAGGUUGGUAGACAACUCCCAAAACUGCAAAGUGAUGAGGAAGGUUCAAUGAAUUAUGUUCUUGUAAAAUCAUGACCACCACCAAAAAUGGAUUUAGUUGAAAGCUCAAGUAAAAGAAUUUAUGUCUUUUUUAAGUCCUUAGUAAACCAGGAGGCAAAACAGUUCAACUUAAUGACAAAUCAAAACAUUUGAACUUUUGAAUUGUUUGAAGGUCCAAUUUUUUUUUGGCCAAAAAAUAUCAGUCAAAUCAAAGAAUUUUGACUGAUUUAAACAAACAUCUUUUAGAGAAAAGCAUUUCUUCAAAAAAAAGGUCAUGCUUUUUUAAUCAACAGAGCACUAUAAACAAGCCAAAUAAACUCACUAAUAUGUUAUGCAAAACUGUGUAAAGACCCCAUCAGAGAGUGAUAGUCCCUUUUGAGUAUCUGCUCCAUCUGUUUGAAAAUGUAAGCAAGAGCUUAGAUAUGAUAACAAACUGAGGAGUUUAAGGUCCUUCCCUUCCCUGCCCCACAAACAUUAUGAAGCUAGACAGUUUAAUCCAAGUGGUCUAGUAUCCAAGAGCUCAGAGCACAUCUACUGAUCUGCAAGAUUUCUGUAUUUUUGUUCUGGUUUUGUUUGUUGCCAUGGAGUCUAGUAGAAUAUUUAGAUGUGUGACCAUUGGACAGGAUGUUUGUGAUUGCAGCACGUGGCUGCUUGCCUUCUCCACGUGGAGCGGAGGCUGGGCCUGCCCUCCAGCCCUUCGGCUGUCUCUGGACCCUGGCUUAGGGCUUAGGUCCCAGUCUUCCACCAUGUUGAUCAGUCUAGUCCCAGCUGCAUUAGAAGGCUGAAUUCCAGUUUGUGCAUCACCAGCAGAGCUGCAGCACUGUGGACCAGCACGCCCAGCUGCACUGUGUGAUGUCUCAGUCACAAGAACCUGGCAGAGAUCAGGCAAGCAUAGAGUGGCUCCCAUGAUGAAACACAGCAAGAUCUCCCUCUUUCCUGCCUUCAGAACUGCCAUUCACAAAACUAGUCUCCAAACCUCCUGACAACCACAAUUAAAACAUUAUUUUAAAAUAAGCAACAAGUUAUUUCACAAUAAAAAUGUCAUCUUUGGAAAUAUGUUUCCUUUUGAUUAUACAUAGAGAGAUAAAAAUAUGGCAGAGUCCCAUAUUUGACAUUUCAAGCUGAAGGUAUUUACAUUAAGGAGGAAGAAGAAAAAGUAUUGCAUCUCCAUUCUGCUGUUUCUUCAGAUAUGCCAUCAGUUUAAGCACAGAGACAUCUCUUAAGGAACUGUCACUUACAUCAAUGUCUGUAAAAAUCAACAAAUGGAUCUGUCAAUUAUUUAGAAGUGUAGAUGCAGCAGCUGGUGAGCAGUUUGCUGUGUGGCAUUCCUCACGAAGAGAGGUGCCAGAAAUUUACUGCCAAAACACUUCAGCUAAGUGAUCUCAGAUGAAAAAAUGACAGCUUCUGCUAAUGAACAGUCAGUGCUGUGAGCAUAAACAUUCAUCAUAGUUCCAGAGUGGAAGGACUGUGGCAGUAUCUGGCUUUGCAAAAGCUUUUAUUUGCAUCUUGUGCAUAUUUAGCCCAGCUGUACUCUGUGGUGGUUCUGGAGCUGGAGUGUGUACCAUGAGAAGAAAGAGCAAAGGGCAUCUGCUGCCAAGGACACAGCUCAAAUGCCUUGGUGACCUCUCCUCAGAGUCUGAAUUUUUCUCCAGAGGCAGCUGCAGGAAGGCUUGCUGGAUCCACAGCUGCUGAGGAAGGCAGUGAAGAUCACAGGAGCCAUCCCACGUUCUGCUCCAGCCACAAGUAACUAGAGAUAUCUGGGAGAAGAGUACCACAGCCAGAACAGUGUUGUCCACUGGGGGCCUGGCAUCGGCCAUGACACAUGGUUGGCUGGUGAAUUGAGGAGAUUAAGUGCAUGGCUUCCACUGUCCCUCAACACAGGAGUUCAGGAAUCCUGGUAUCCUGGAUUUGUGACCACAGGAGCCUGUGAAUCAUGAAAGAACAUCUAAGCAGAGGACUCUGAGUACAAAUAAAAAUACGUCUUUGUGGAAAUUUAAUGUGAAGAUAAUUCACAGACAUCCAAGAUGUGCCUCUAAGAGGACAAAUGUGUUUCCUUCUGGGAAGUCUGCACCAGGGGUGCAUGAGUUUGCUCUCAGGACAUCAAGGCUGGAAGACACAGCUGGAAGAAGAUUUCAAGAUCCACCCCUGUGCAUUGGGACAAGGGUUGAUUCUGCUGUCACCAGGGGUGUGAAUCCCCAGCAGCCUCGCUGUCUUCCCUGGGGGCCCAGGUACAAGGUGGAGCAGAGCCUGCUUUUGUUGCUGGAGCAUCUUGUGAGUUCCAUAACCUGCAGAAAUGUUAAGGUCCACAGUAAUAAAUGGCUGAAAAGAAUUAAAAUGGCUGCACAGACCUUUACCACCUCAAACUAUUGAAAACUGAACAGAAAUCCACGAUUUUUCCAGUGUUGAAAUGUCUGCUCUGAAAAUAUUCCAAGUAUCCUCUCACAAGGUACUCUCUGGAAGAACAGAAAGAACAGGAGCAAAGGUUUGUACCUGUGUCUGACAUUUGUAUUCCUCCUGAAGUUCUUCCUCUGGAAUAUUGUGGGCAGCAAGAAAUGCUGGGACAAUUUUUAAAAGUCUAAGCUAAGGUAGUACAGGACUGCUGAAGUGAGAGGGGAAGGAGCUGAGCUGUUUGCAGGCACUGCUGAAGAGUUUACCAUGGUUUGCCUAGUAUGUUGAGUGUUCAUCAGUAUUUAAGAGCCCUCAAAUGCUUUUUGAUUUCCUAUACACCUACAGCACAAAGUUUUACACUAAUUUACAAAUGGUCAUGGAAGCUUCAAUGCAAACCUUGCAGUACUCAAGCAAAUUUUCAACUUGCUCAGAAAACAUCAUUAAUGCCAUUUACUGGUAGGAGUCAAACCUGGAGAAGAGCUGUACCUUCCCACCUGGCACAGGCAGAUAGCCCUGUUCUGAUGCACAGGGCAGGGCCAGCUGACUUUCCACAUCAACACCCCGUGUGACACGGUUGUUUUUUAAAAAAAAAACCCUCAGAACUGAUAUCUGGAGUUGGGAGAAAAUGUUUUGCUCUCUUUUUUCUUGCAAAUUUUGCUUCUUUUGUUUUCUGGCAUAUCACUGUAGUUUUCAAUGUUAAACAAUUUGUAAUUACAGUGAUUAUUAUGUCCAGGAUUUUGGAAGGGAAAUGGGGUUGUUUGUUCCUGUGUUAGCAGUGCUGAUCUCCCAGGAAUUGUGAGUGGAGUUGGGGACAAGGUUUGUGUGUGCUCUCUCACCAGAGUUAUGGGAAACAGCUGGGACUUAUGGAAGAUGGGAAGGUUGGGUCUCCCUCUGCUGUGUGGCUGUGCCUGGGGGCAGCCAUAGCACUCCCUCAGAUGUUACCAGGCCAUCACUGCUGUGUGUUUGGGCAGGGUGGUGAUUGCUUGUAGACUUCUGAUUGCUAUAAUGGAUGGGAAAAACCCCAAAUGUGUGCUAUGUUUUGCUAUCUGUUAAUUUGGUUUUCAGGGUUUUUUCCUGUUAGGUUUAUAUGUGUACCUGCAGAACUAAUGUGCUAAGCUGAUCUCUCCCAGCAAGGCUGAAAAGAAUCAAAGGGCAUCACUAAGUUCAGUGGAGAAGGAAAUUCCCCACUCCUGAGUCCAGACCUUCCUGGUUGCCCAGAAGAUGUGACAGUGAUAUUUUGAAGCCGCUAUCAGCUGCAUUCAGAGGGAGAUGACAAGCAGAGAGCACCUUACAUGCAAAUCCUUGUGUCUCUCAUGAACGGGUAUGUAAGAGUCGUGCAAAGACUUAGGCAUACCCUGUGUAGGGUUUUCAAGACAAACUCAUCUGGCCUACUUGCUUAGAAAUUGCCCCUAACAUUCAGGUAUUUGUUUAUUAAUCUGUUUGUGUAAAAAAUAAAGAAGAAAAAAGUAAGAAAGGAUAGCAAGAAAAAAAGAAGAGAAAAGGGAAAAGGGGGUUGGAAAAAAAAAAGAAGAAAACAACAAACAAACAAAAGAAAAAGGCAGUGGAGAUCUUGUUUCCAAAGAGCAGCAAGGUCAGACCCCAGCUGGGGUGCCUUGGGGCAGGCCCAAAGGAGCUGUGCCCUGCCUGGGGGAGGCCAGUAGAGACCUGCAACCCCUGGCCCUAGGGCACCUUGGGUACUGCCAUAACCCUCUCCCAAUUAAAACUGACAUGGGAUUUCUCAGAAUUCUACUGGGCUGAAAAUAUUUUGCUCAGACUAAACAUAUUAAACCAAUUACAGCAAAUUAGUCUACAUUCCCUGGUGACUUGAGCCCUGCUAAAAGGCAGCUAUGGUAGUUAUUAGCACGCUGCCUUUAGCUACUGCUUUGUGAAUGCCACAUUUCUUGCAAGUAAAAUACCUGAUCAGAGGUGGGUCACUCUGAUAAACAGGUAGUGGUUACUGGAUCCAAAGGACAUGUAUCAUGCUCCACCACAGACCAACAGAUGUUGGAACCCAGGACAUCUCUUUGGGUGCUUUGGAAAGCUCAAGAUCCUGGCAGGGGCUCGGAGACCCUGGCAAGAAGACAAAGACACUUGGGAUUUCGAUCUUAACCCAUGGAACAAAUUACCAACUUUGUAUGAAGAAUUACAAGUCACAAAAGUUUAAGCAGCAUAAUAGUAGUUGUCACAAGGUGAAAAAUAGAAUUUUGAGAUUUUUAGAAUGGGGGUUUGGAGUCCCAAAAUAGAAGAGUUUGGGCGAUCCCUGUCCUUCUUCUUUUUCCUUCCUAACCUCCAUGUUCUGAGUGAUGCUGGCACAUUUAGAUUGGCCUGAAGUAAAAGUAGAAGUCUAAAAAGUAAAAGUCUAACAUAGGUGACAAGUAUUGGAAAAUAACUGUCAAUAAAGUACACGUGUUUUUUUGUAUAAAGAGAUAGCACUGCCUCAGGGCAGAACAGGGCAGUGUGCCCUUGAGAGACCUGCAGAUCAGACCUCUGUGGGUCUGAGAGAAAAUAUUUUAGAUAAUAGACAACUUUGUGAACACUAGCCAAAGAAUCCUGACUCUUUCUUUGGCCGGUGGGCUGGGAAAAUGAGACUCUGGGAUCAUCCCGACAGCAGGAAACCCGAGAGUGACUGGAUCCAAGGGACGUGUGUCAUGCUCCAGCACAGACCAACAGAUGUGUCUCCCAGGGCCCCAGGGCUUUUCUGGAGGGGCACUGUAAGCAGGGCAGCUUAGGGCUGUGGGCUUUCCCCCAGGCACUGUCAAAUCCCGGGUGGAUGGAGGAGGUUGUGACACAGAGGCACCACUGACAGCUCCGCUAAUACAAGUGGGAAUAAGACUUACUGGGCCCUGCCCAAGUGGCUUUUGUAGGUCAGUGUUCUUCCCCUUGGAGGCUUCCUCCCUGUGGGAGAGGGAGUGGUGAAGGAUGGGUCUGGGCUAAUGUUUGUCAUGAUUUACUAUUGUCUGUCCUUUGAGGGCUGCAAACAUCUCCUGGGGACUGGAACUGCACUGCUGAGCACACGGAAAGUUUGAGUUUCCACAGGCUGCACAGGACAAGCCACAAGUUUUGAGUCUGUCAUCUGCUUUUCAGGAAGAGCAUUUCUUGUAAAGCCAGACUCACCAUGGAAUGCUGGAAAAUGCAGGGCACUUCAGCUGCUGGAGUCACCUUUGUCCCCAGGGAGCCUUUCACCUUGAGCUCCUUGCUCUGUAACAAAGAGGUCAGUUCCAAGCUAGCAUUUAACUGUUCAGAUGACAUGGCAGCAUGUCUCACACCACAUAUCAAGAUUAGUGCUGUGAAAUGGGCUGGAUUUGUUAUUUAUUUAUUUUUAAGAUGAUGAUACAAGUAAUUGUGUUAUUUUCUCUUGUAAUUUCAACUAGAGAAAAGGUUUUCCUAAUGUGACCAUAUAUAGAGAUUUCUUGAAAAGAGACCUACAAAGAAAAAUCAUCCAACCCUGGCAUGGCUCACAGACAGACUGACAGGCAGAAGAACCUCAAACCUACCUUGAGCUUCAUCUGAUCUAUCAUCCCUUCACCACUACGUCCUCAUGUGCUCCCCAGGACCAUCAUGAAUUCAGGCUUUCUCCUCAAAGCUCCUCUUCCCAUUUCUGCUGCUGAGCCACUGAGUACAAGUUUCAUGGCCAGACAGUGCCCUGUAGCAUCAAGGAGAGCUGCGAGGGAAAUGAAAGGCUCCAGUGCUGCAUUUCAGGAAUCAGGAAAGAAUCAGUAAUGAGAGGAUGGAACCCAAAUUACCUCUAAUCAUCUGAGAAUGGAGAUGAUUCUUUAAGGAUCUUCCAAAACCAGCUGAAGUGAAUACUUCUGGAGAGGUGCCUUGUCCCAACGAAAGAGCAGCCACAUCCCUGGUGCAUCAUUUAGGGCACAAUGGGACUUUGUGAGCCAGUUUUCCUGGGGACUGGCCCUGCCCCAGAGGAACUGCCUGCUACAAAGCUUCCCAGAUUCCUGUAUCCCAUGUACAGCAUAAAUUACAACUGGACACUUUUCCAUGUCACUUAUUUUCCCUCCGAGGCUCCUUUGGCAGCAUAUGCAAGGAGCACAAGGAUCCAGUGCUUGGCUGCCUCAGUGCUUCCCCUGUUUCAGGGCUUCUAGGAGAUCUGGGGAUGGGGAGCAGAGGCAAUGCUCCAGAUUACUUUGUCAUUGAAAAGCAGCAUCAUAAUGAUGAGCUACUGCCUAUCAGAGUCCCAGAGCCCUGCUACUGUACCUUGUAAAUCAGUUCCCCAGGUAAAUUUUCAGGAUCUUUCAGGAUCUUCCUUUUUCAGGAUGUCACUAUGGAGGAGGAGUUGGUGACUUCACUUGGAGAUCCACAUCACAGAAGGGACAGUGGUGUGGCCAGCUGCAUUAGCAAGGAGUGUCACACAGGUGAAGAACAAAAUACCCUGGUAAAUGUUUGUGGGGAAGUUUGCACAAACUGCCUUAAUUAAACUUCAGGCCACUACUUUAUCCUCUUGCUUUAUCAAGCAACUUAUUUUUAAAAAAUGAUUCUUCUUAUGAUACUUGGAUAUUGGGCUUUGGUUGUUUCAGCAAUAAUCUAUUUUCUGCUUUGGGAUUUUAAAUUAAAACCUUUUGCACUGUAGUCUCUCCACUUAGCAAGUGGAUUAUUGCCACUUAAAACAAUGAGGGGCAAGUAUUUCCCUUGUGCUACAGAAGGGUUUAAAAAAAUACAAAAGCAAUGGAAAUAUGCCAACUUUUGUUAACACAUUUGUGCAUAUCAAUGGUUUACAGGUGCAGGCACAUGAGAGGAGGGCUGGAAAAAAAGUGACAGCAUGAUUGAUUGCAUUUUCCUAUUUGUGAUUAUCUGUCCAUGUGACAUACAUAUAACAGUACAUGUGGCUAGCACAGACCUCCUGACUCAAUGUAUUUCACACAUAUCCAGCUCAAAAUCAAAACUAUGACUUCUUGCUUUUGCUUAUUUUGCUGAACUAAUAUAGAGGGAAAGGUGACCCAAGGAAAAUAAAAUUAAUAACACCAGAGAAAUCCAUUUUCACUCCAAACUCAUCAAGAACCAGACAGUUUUCUAAGACAUAGAGAAGAUGAGGGAAUUCUGUGGCUACCUGACCCUUUUCCCAUGAAUGCUGCCAUCUCCAUCAUCAAUCUUUUAACUUCUCUACCUAUUUUUGGAAACUUCUCACACUAAAUUUCCUGAAGUUGUUUCAGCUGGGGUAGAAUGAAUGAAAACUGAAUUAGGUCCAGCAUUUUGUCUUCUAUACUGGCAAUAUAUUUGGAGAAAGCACUGCUUAAAUCUUUUGUCUUGCUCAGAAAGAAGCACAUUGACCCUGCUACACAACCUGCCCAUGAAUAACCACAGUCUUUCAAUGCUACUUCCCCUUGCUACUGUCCUCUCCCUUCAGCACUUUUCUCAGGUUUAUAUAUCUUUUCUCAGGACUCAAGGAAGUAUUGAAGUCACUUUGAAAGAUGCUCUUUUGAUAAUAUUUCUGCCCCAAUGCAAGUUAAAAAAAAAAAAAACAGACAAAACUGAAAAAAGACAAAACAGAAAAGAAAAGGUGAAAGAUUGAGCUGGGAAUUUUGCCACUUAGAUUUUUGGCUUUAGAUGUAGAGUUCCUGUAAUUUUCUGAAGACUAGUCACACAAAAUCUCUCCUCUUUCAGGUCUUUUAGGUUUCUUGUGGCCUUGUUUUUAUACAGGAGCACUCAGACACAUGGAUGACUGUUACACUAUACAUUCUGACUGUUGAUGCCAUAAUUGCAUCAGCUCAUGGACAUGUUAUUUAAAGAGAGACCCUCAGUCUCCCAGUGGAUGUCAUUCUGACUCUGGGUAAUGGCAAUCCAGUGAUGUUAGAUUAUACCUGAUAUCAGAAUCUGGUCACUGACUUCAAAAUUUACUUGUCUUUGUCUCCAGUUUUGCAGUUCAUUUAUCAAAGGGAGGACAGAAGACACUGUACUCAAAGCUCCUGAGUCAACAAAUACCUUUUUUUUUUUCCAAAAUACACAUGAAAAAGCACUUUUUCAUAUUUUCUUUUACAUUUUAUUUAAUUUUAACUUAGUUUAAAUUAAAUUAAUGUAGAAUGAAUUUAAUAUAUUUUUUUUAUUUAUUACUUUUUUAAAAUUCCCCUCACAGCCUAUCAAGAAUUAUGUUGGACCCAUAACAUAGCUCUUGUUUCAUAUGAAGUAUGGAGAAUAAUAACUAUUUUAAGAAUAAAAAUGAUACUUGAACAAAAUUCUGUUACACAAUACUCCCCUGUUGGGGAAAGAAAAUAAACCAUAACCACGGUCUAUCCACUUACUUUUUCCAUUUCUAUUCUCCUUCUGUCUAAGGAACACUGUCAACAUUUUGAAGAGGAAACUAAGUGCCAGAGAAAGGAGCAGGAGGAAUUUGAUGGCUAUCUUUCCAGCCAUUUGUUUUCUUGUCCAUUUAUUCCCAGUCGUUUCCUUUAGCGCUGCCUGGGAGUGCAGUGCUUGACACCCUGUAAAAAUAUUCCUAUUUUUGGUGCAAUUCGCAUUUCCCAGGAUGCUCAGUAUGAUAACAGGGAUCUGUCCUACCUCUUCCUCAAUAUGUACCAAACAUGUUUUGGUGUGGUUUUUAGUUCAUACAUUUCUUAACUGCACUUAAAUGCACUGGCAGCAAUCAGCUCUCCCAAACUUUGCAGUCUAUUCUCUCAUUUUCUCCGUAUUUUUUUGAAAUGCCAAAUGAAAGCACUUGUUUUGCUUCACAAUGCAUUUCUGUGCAUGGUGCACCUUAUAGCAAGAUACACAGCUGCAAAGAAUCUCCCUCCUCUGUGUGAUCUACAGCAUUAGGUCCUCCUAAAGCUACAUCUACUUCCUUGGUGAGGGCACAGCAGCCUCCCAGCCAUGUGGCACGGGGGUUCCUGCACUCCUUCCCCUACACCAGCCCAGGGAGCAGCAUCAAGCCAGGGCAAACUCUCUCUCCCUAUGGAUUUGUGGCAGGAGGAUGCACUGUCCUUGCAUGCCAAAAGGGUCCAAGUGUGGGUCUGCCCAGAGAGCAGCACUCAGGAAGGCCAGGAAAGUCAUCUGUCAGUCACCACCUCAUCUGGAAGAAGUCCUACCUGCCUACAGGCAGGUCACAAAGAAAGAAGCAAAGGAAAGAAAAUUGCUGAAUUAAGUCUUCCACUCUGAUGUUUUCCCCAGUCCCUUCCUUUGCUUCUUGUUGCUGUAGCCAAAAUGUCACCAUCCAAGCUGUGGGUACAGCGAAUAUGGGAAGAGCAAAAGACAAUCCUCAAAGAGGAGAUGGGUGAGCACCCCAUGGCCCUGCAGUGCAGACAGGGGCUGCUUCGAGGCCUCUGCCUUUCAAGACAGUCUGAUAGGGUAAAGGUCCUCAUGUCCCCCAUCAGAACUCAUCUUGCACUAACCAAGGAAAACACACAUAAUUAAAUUAAGGCACUUUGUUUUCGUAUCAUCAGUGCAAUUUAUAAAGAUACCAGUGUGACAGUUUCUAGGCACAGAUACAGCCUUCAUAUUUUUCCUGGAUGCAGCACAUUGUUUUAUCAGCCAGAAAGCUGAGCUAGAGAGACUCUUCAGCACAAAGCAAUGCUCCAGGCCAUCUUCCUUAGUAAGGAGAAGGGGUGUUAUCUGCCCUUAAAUUGUAUUUCUACCUAAUUAAAUUCAACAAGAUGCCUUCUUUAACCAAAACCAGUCACAUGGAAAUAUUUGGAGCAGGGAAUGAUGAUAUCUGAUAUAAAAGUUCACACCAGCUGUCAUGCCUUUCAAAGACGAUAAAACAUUCAGGAAAGCCAUAAGCUGGACUAUUACAUUUUGAAUAUGUAUUUCCUGCAUCCAGAGUCUCCAGUUGUGAUGGGGCCACAUUUUUAGCUCACUUUUGGUGUAGACAACUUUGUGAGUGCAAUUACACACUGACAUGAAGUAAUGCUUAAGUUCAGAGUAGGAAGUAUCUCUGCUGCCAAUUGGAGAAUAUUGUGACCCUCACAAGACAUUGCAGUGGUAGCAGAGUUGGCUGACAAGGAUCUCCAUAACUGCAUCCUUGAUAGCAGAAGGGGUUCUUCCCUUCUCACACUUUUCCCAAUAAUACUGAGCACUGUCUUGUUCUGAUCCCUAUGCUCCCCAGUGCCUUUUUCUCCCUUUACCAGAGAAGACAUGAAAUGAAGAAAAAAAAGCCAGCAGUAACAGCAUCCUGACCAGUUUAAGAUCAUAUCUGCAGCUGCAGGAGUGGGAUGUCCAUCACGCGGGGUAGAAAGUGGAGGAAGAAGGCAGAUAAAAUCCCAUGUGGUGCAAGCAUAGAACAUGUCUGAGGGAGGAGGCCCAGGUAGAAAAAAACAUGUGAAUCAAUGAGACCCACAACAGUUAUCUUAAAGCCUCUUCUCCAGAGCUGUGGUCCCCUAAGAGUAAGGAGAGUUCAGUGGUAUCUUACAUUAACAGUUCAGGAUGUACACCCAGAGUUUCCUGAGCUUCCUACACUAUGUGAAACAUCAGUUGCACCAAAUUCAGUUCAGAGCAGCCAAGUUUGGAGGCAAAAAUGGUGAAGAAAUAGACAAGGGUGUUCUAGCUCCCAGUGACCUGGAAGAAGGUGGUUGCUGCUGGCUGAGUUGUCAGACCUGUACCACAAGGAGAGUGUCAAGCACAUUCUACAGCAUGCACAUGGGAAGGUUGCUUUAGACAUAUAAAAACAGCAUCUCCAAGGCCAGUAAAGUACCUGUAAAGAAGGAGGAGUGGCACCACACUGAUGCCACCACACUGACUUUCUCCUUCAGGACAUCCUCAUGCUGCAGGUCAAGUUAGCACCAGGCAGAUGCCUCUGGAGUCUAUCCUUCUCUGGGAGAAGGCAAAUCUUCCUCCCAGUGAUGCGGGGAGUGAGCUGCCCCCUUGCCUUCAAAAAGAGAAACAUCCAUUUUGCUGUGAGGCAGAGGCUUGGGCUUCAUAUGGUGCCUGCAGGCAGCUGUCAGCUGGCAUGCUGAGUCUGAGCCUGCACUGGCAGGAGAAAUGGCCCUGAAUGAAGUCAAAAUUAUCGCUGAUGCAAUUCGUAAAUUACUCUCUUUGAUGUUUAACAAAACUGAACAUGUUGUAAAUUAAAUGAAUAUUUGUUCAGGGGUUCAUAAGAUUCAGUCAUUGUCAGUUACAGAUUACAGCAAUAACCCACAGAAAGUACAGAACAAAUGAGAUUUGGCUAUCGUUUUUAUAGGGGCAUACUGCCAUGCCCUUGCUUACAAUUAAAUAGUGACUAACUUUAAAAGUAUAAUGUUCUUUUAUUAGCAAAAAGGUCCUUUGGAGUGGAGGUGUUGCAAUCAGCCUGGUCUAGAUAUUUAUUGAAUGCAGAAUUAUUUAAUGUACUUGAGAAACAGGCAGCUAGGAAUUUCUUUUGCUGGUUGUCAUUUGGGCCAGUCAGGGUUAAUGUUAUUGGUUGCACUGGGACUGAGCCUCUGCCAGAUGUCCUAUCUACAUGACGUUAAGAAAAGAAUGGGCAGAGAGUGUUGAGACAACCAAUUCUUUCAUAAAGUUAAACUGGAUGAUCCCAAUAAAUGUAUUUUACUUAAUUCACAGCCUCCUACACUCACUCGUCAGAGGAUGCUGUGAUACCCUUUUGUUGUGGGAGUGCAUUGCACAAAAUCUAAUAAUUUCUGAGCUGAGAAACAAAUAAAAAUAAUUCGGGUACACAUUUUAUGUGUGGUGUUUUCUUGGUCUUAUGAAGUGAUGUAGGCAUAUUGUUCAUGCAACCAUAGACACUUAAAAAGUAAGAUCAGGCUGAAAAAUCUACAGGCUAGAAAUGGAAGAGAGUAACAAAGUAUUCAUCUUUGACCACUUUGUCUUUUUGUUACUGACCCACUGAAAUCCAGUGGGUUACCUCAGGCAAAAAGAACCCCCUAAAAGCAAAGUCCCAAUGAUGUCAGAUCAAGUUUAUAUUGAAAAAAAGCAGAGCGUUCAACUUUCCUCUCAGAGUUCAACAUCACAGGUAUGCAAUCACCCAUCUGCUUCCUGAACUAGCUCUUAGCUAAGAAAACAAGAGCCGUGAAGGGAGCUUUAUCAAAGACUGCAGGAGGACUAUGGGGCAUUAUGUGUCAAACAGUAAAUAUUUGUCUCAGUAUAACAAUAUGUAUUUUGGCUUACAGGGGCAAAAGAGAGUAUUAGAGUAGUGACCAAGGCUCACAGUCUUGAUGGGAAAUAAAAUUUCACCUGCAAACUGGCUUGGCUGUAGGCCAGAGAAGACUAAGAAAAAAUGCUAGAGGGAAACAUUUUCAUUCCCCUUCUGAAACCAAAGCAACCUCUGGUACUUCAGAUAAGUUCUGGUACACCCACCCAAGUUAGGAGACACUCAGCAAUUUUAACAGCUGUGACCCUGAGCCUCCCUGGGAAAGCAUUCUGUCUGCUUCAGCCAUGAGUCCAGAGACAUUAACUUGGGGAUAAAGUUCACGUUUUCCAGGCUGACUGGCUGGACUCCUAUUCAGCUGACUCAGAACUGAGGAAAAGGAGAUCAGAUACUUGAACAUCUGCUUGAACCUCUGCAGACCUAUUCAUGGGCUUUCACUGAAAUAGUUUUGGAAAACAUAACCACUUUAUGGCAUUCUGUAUGAAAAUAAUACAAAUGAGACAUUUGUUUUGUUAUAAAAACAGAUUGCAUUAGGAAAGGAAAGGUAGAAAAGCUGUCUAUACCUCUUGUGCUUUACAUAUAGGCACACAGGGUGGGACUUUGGCUUAAGACUGUUGUCUCCUCCCUGCAUAUUCUCUCUAGUGCCUGUAUUGAUCCAGGGUUAAUGAAGACUUAUUUCCAUCCAAUGAAAUUGGAACCUCUUGCAUUAAGACCCAUAUCUGACAGCCUUAUAAAAAUACUGCAUAGACCAUGCUCACCUAAUGUCUCCAUCCUAAAAAGCUCCCAUUUGUGGAAUUUAAAUUUCAUUAGGAAAUCAAUACAUCCUCAUUUACCCUUAAUUUUAGAGAAAAAGUUGUGUGAGAUAUUCAGUUUUGGGAUUUUUUAAUUCAUUUUAUUGGGAUCUUAAUUGAACAUAUCACUUACAAACCCCAUCCAUCAUAUCAUCAUCAAAGUAUUCAUUUGUUCUUCUCUAACUGGGAUCAAAUUUUAAAUGAGGAAUUUAUACCCAUGUAAAGAUAAACUCUUAAGCUCUGCAUUUGAUUUUUCUCUGUUUCCAAGGAACUGAAAAUGUGUUUCAUCUUUUUCUGCUUCCUGCAGAUAAUUUGAUACAGAGUAUUUUAGAACAUUUCUUUUGUAUUUACAUUUUGGCAUGAGUAUAUUGCAUUGUUACAUUGUUCACAGCCUUACUAUUGUCACUGCCAACUUCUUUUGGGAAAAAUCAAAGAAAAGCUGAGACAAGAUAUAUCAUGCCACAA